GGGUCUGCAGAUGCCAUCCAGGCGCACGGCGGGUAUAGUGGUUCCGCAACCUUGGGAUGUUCGGCUGAGCGCCUGCCUAACAUGGGAGCGCCUGCCUAACCCUCCUGACUGGAGGGUCAGCGGCGGGGAGUCCUGGCCUUCAAUCGGCCAUCGCCACGGCAGAAACUGGGGCCCGGGCUGCGUCCAGGCCCUUCCCCGUCCGUCCACAGGUCUCAUGGGCGCCCGGACUGGGGCUGAUGUAGUUUCCCGACCUCUGACACAUAGGAUCUGGAGAUUAAAGCUGCUCUGCUAAUAAUUAGGUUCCCACCUCUCAAGAUCAUUAGGAGCUUCUUUUCCAAUUCCUCUGUUUUGCAUGCAUUGGAAGAGCAAAUACCUACCAGAAUGGAUAACUUGAGAGAUGUGGAAAGAAAAUGGUGACGCCGAGGGUGACUGAUUUCCAGGUUUACAUCGGUUGCCCCAGGGGAAGUGCCUGGCCCCCAUCUGGUCCUUGCUGCUCUAACUUUGCCCUGUUAAUUGAAGAAAUGCAGGAUCUGGAGCUCAGGACCCACUACCUCCCCGGCCCACUGCAAGCUUGAACAUUUGAUGGUGGACACCCCUCCCUGACUUUGUAUUAUGUGUCACUGGUGUGGGGGUUACCUUCCCACUAUGUCUCCCAGAAGACAUGAGGGCACAGACUACAGUGCCUGUGGACAGAGGAGCUGUGGGGAUGGAAGUGUGAUUGCUUCAUUCAAAUGCACGCCCCGGUGCGUGUGCGUCUCUUCUGAUGCAGCUCCCCAUGGGCCCCUGGAUCCUCCUGGAAUCCCUGAUCCCUGUUGCUCCCUGGCGGAGUUUUCUAGUCCCUCUUACUUGAAGCAUGUCUUUCAGAGCCCGGCACCACCCAAGUUGGGUAUCUGAUACCCCAUCAGCCUGAGUCUCUUAAAGGCCUUUAUACACAUAUGUCUACACAUAGGGAUUUGGAUGAUCUCGGGAUCCCACAUCCUCGCUGUCCCCUGUCCCCCCACAACAUCCCACACCAAUACCUUUCUGAAGUUUUCUAGUCCCUCCUUUUUGUUUGUGGUCCUUAAAGCCCAGCCCCAUGCCUGACUUUGGUUCCCAGUGAGCAUUGUACAUUUGUGGAUAUUAAAUCUUUGGCAAAGUCAUUUACCUGGGCUGGAA
rnacentral:lncRNA from 1 species